UACGUAGGGUGCGAGCGUUAAUCGGAAUACUGGGCGUAAAGCGUGCGCAGGCGGUUUUGUAAGCCAGAUGUGAAAUCCCCGGGCUUAACCUGGGAAUGGCAUUUGGGACUGCAAGGCUUGGAGUGCGGCAGAGGAGACUGGAAUUCCUGGUGUAGCAGUGAAAUGCGUAGAUAUCAGGAGGAAUACCGAUGGCGAAGGCAGGUCUCUGGGCUGACACUGACGCUCAUGCACGAAGCGUGG
rnacentral:rRNA from 1 species